AGCGAACGCUGGCGGCAGGCCUAACACAUGCAAGUCGAACGAAGUCUUCGGACUUAGUGGCGGACGGGUGAGUAACACGUGGGAACGUACCUUUUGGUUCGGAACAACUCAGGGAAACUUGAGCUAAUACCGGAUGAGCCCAUAGGGGGAAAGAUUUAUCGCCGAAAGAGCGGCCCGCGUUCGAUUAGCUUGUUGGUGAGGUAAAGGAUCACCAAGGCUACGAUCUAUAGCUGGUCUGAGAGGAUGAUCAGCCACAAUGGGACUGAGACAAGGCCCAGACUCCUACGGGAGGCAGCAGUGGGGAAUCUUGCGCAAUGGGCGAAAGCCUGACGCAGCCAUGCCGCGUGAAUGAUGAAGGUCUUAGGAUUGUAAAAUUCUUUUACCAGGGACGAUAAUGACGGUACCUGGAGAAAAAGCCCCGGCUAACGUCGUGCCAGCAGCCGCAGUAAAAC
rnacentral:rRNA from 1 species